rnacentral:lncRNA from 1 species
CUACACCCAGAAAUAUAAUAAAAGUUUAAAAAAAAGUGAUGGACUCAUUAAUGUGGCAUUCAAGUGGUGACAUAGAUAUUAUGGGUGGUUUUUUUGCCAAGUUUACUAUGAUAAUCAGGAGGAGAAAAUUUUGAAAAACUUGAAGUUUGACCAGAAAAGUACAUGUAAAACUGGGGCUAAGGAAAUUGAGGUUAUUAAAACUAUUACAACCACUAAAGAGACACUGUAUACUUUACCCAGAAACAAUAGGAAAGAUGGCUUGAGAGCAACUUGGAAUUGACAAGGCCACACCUGUCUUAAGACUCAAGGUUGUAAAGGUAAAAAUGCCUUUGAGACCAUGGGGGCACCCUGCUUGCCCAGAGGGGCCUAGUUGUUUUGCUGUGCUCAGCCACCCAAGCACUGAAAGGCUGCUGCAAGCUGGUCACAGGAGACUUGGCUACUGCUCAAGAUGGUAGCAGACCUUGCAUCAUCCAUGUGGUCUUACCUAUGCAUUAAUGUAGGAUGCAGAAGUUAUGGGAUUGUGGAGCUUUCCACCAAGAUUUCAAAGGAAGGCCUGGGAGGCCAGACAAAGUGUUGCAAGAUCCUAGUCACCUGCAGGAUGCCCUUGAGAGGGCAAUUCAUGACCUAAGAAGAAAGCCAAAGCUGCAGUGGAGACCCCCAAGAUUAAGAGAUGCCAGUACUGUGGAACAUCUGCCAAGGACCACUGUAGGAAUCAAGCAGAGACAAGCCAAAAGAGAGCCCAUGUGGCUGCAACCAUCAAGGCCACAAGGGGCAGAGCUACACAAGCCCUUUGGGGAAAACAUCACAAUGCCAUGUGCCUCAGGCACUCCAUAUGGAAUUACAGGACUUGUUUGCCCAGCUGGAUUUGGGUCUUGCUUUGGUCCCAUCCUAUACUCCUAUUUGUCCUUUGGGGAAUGGAAAUGUUUCUCCUGAGCCAUUAUAUAUUGGAGAUGCAUAUAUUGCUUUUGAUCUUUAUAACUUUGCCUUGAGUUUCCAAUGAGAUUUUGGACUUGAACUUUUGAGGAAUGCUGGAACUUUUAAGACCCUGGGAACUCUUUGAAGUGUACUAAGUGUAUUUUCCAUUGUUAAAUGAUUAUGAGCAUUCAUGGGCUAGAGGUGGAAUUUUAUGGUUUAGAUAUGAGAUGACCCACAAAAGCUCAUGCAUGAGACAAGGCAAGAGUUUCCAAAGGUGAAACAAUUAGAUCAUGAUAGUUGUAACUAAUUAGUGAAUUGAUUCACUGAUAUGGAUUAACUGGUUUGUAACUAUAGAUACAGUAGGGUGUGGCUGGAGGAGUUAGGUCACUGGGGUCAUGUUUUGGGGUUUAUAUUUUUAUCUUUGGUGAGUGGCACUCUGCUUCCUGUUGCCCUGAUCUGAACUGCUUUCCACCAUGAUAUUCUGCCUCAUCUCAGGCCCAGAGCUAGGAAGUCAGCUGUACAUUGCCUGAACACUCUCAACCUGUGAGCCAAAAUAAACUCUUCCUCUUCUAUGUUGUUCUCAUCAACUUUUUUGGUGACAAUGAAAAAAACUGCAAAAAUGUGUGUGUAUUCAUACAGAGAUGCCAUUAUGCACUACUUCCAGCUCCAUGGAUAAGUCCAAACCUUGUUUGAAAAGAGAUGCACAUAUAUAUAUGUACAGAAGCUUUUUGUUCUAAACAUACAAACUAUUUCAAACUCUGAAAGGCCCACGGGUGAAUGUCAACAGGGGAAAAUGGCAUUUCUCAUGCCCAUUUUAUACAUUUUAAUGAAUUCUGAAUGUUGAAGGCACAUUUUAUUUUUAAAAUUCAUUGAGAAAGAAGUAAACCAGAAUCAUCAUCAUUAUUUUAUAUUUAUUGCACAGCUUAUAUAAAAUCAUCUCACUCACGGUUGCUGUAUCAUAAGGGAUAGUCUGCUAUCUGCUAAGUAUGUGUGUGGAUGGGUGUGGAUCUAGCAUUUCUGACACAGCUCAUCUGAUUCAUGUCUUUUUACCAUCUUCUCCUUCCAAUUCUUGAUCCUGGCACAGUUCACUCGACCCAUGUCCUCACCUCUGUUACUGCUACUGGCCAUCAUUUUCACCUCUCAUGUACCAUCCACAUUCUUGACAGAAUGAGCUAUCUAAAAUUAAAAUUAAAAUCUGCUUUAUUCCCCCAUCGAUAAGAGGAUUUGAUUGGUUUUUACUAAAGGCCCUUGUCAUGUUGAACCUUUGUGAAAGCUUUGAUUCUGUUUUUAUGAAACUAUCUUUUAUAAAUAAAACUCUCC